GCAGAUGCAAAAGCCGAUUGAGAAGACACUAAGGGUCUUGUCAAGGGAAAGAAGCGCAAGAAUCAGCUUGGCGUUGAGGUGGCUAUCAUUCCCAAACAUGAUGCAGUUCAUGCGAGGAGGGAAGUAUGCUCAACCCCAAGAUCAGGUUUUGAGGCUAGUCCUACGUGCCAGGUGGAGUCGACAAGUGUUCGUGUCCUCGUGAUUCUAAUAAAGGCGGAAAGAAGGCGUAUAGCAGCCCUCGAAAAUGUGCUUGACCUCCUGAUGAAGCGGAAAGAGCAAUUAGAUGCUCUCUUCAUCGAAGCCAAACAAGAGCUGGAAGAAGCCAUAAAGAAGCUAUCGGAGACGGAGCAGGCAACCCGCAAAAAUGUACUCGAUGACGCGGUGAAGUGGAAAGAGCAAUCAGAUGCUCGGAUCAUCAAAGUCAAACAAGGGCGGGAAGAAACCAUAAAGAAGCAAGCGGAGGCGGAGCAGGCCAGGCGUCUUGAAACCCUUAGCAAUCCCAAUUUUCAAUCAUAAUGUCGAGGUUUAAAUGGUGACUAGAUGGAAGGGCGCACUCGGCUGCGCCUGGCUAUAGCCA